GAAUGAAGAACGCAGCGAAAUGCGAUAAGUAAUGUGAAUUGCAGAAUUUAGUGAAUCAUCGAAUCUUUGAACGCAUAUUGCGCCCGCUAGCACUCUGGCGGGCAUGCCUGUUCGAGCGUCAUUUCAACCCUCAGGCCCUCGUGUCUGGCGUUGGGGCGCUGCGGCCCUCCCGCAGGCCCCCAAAUUUAGCGGCGGACCCGUCCGGCCCUGAGCGCAGUAGAGAGUAAACUCUAACGCUCCGGCGGCCGUGGCGUGGUUUGCUUGGUGUACUCUAGCGCCACUCCCAAAAAGUUGACCUCGGAUCAGGUAGGACUACCCGCUGAACUUAAGCAUAUCAAUAAGCGGAGGA
rnacentral:misc_RNA from 1 species